UUGUGCAGCAGAGCUUGGGCGUCUGUUCCUGGCUACCACCUACGAGUGGUCCCUGCAGAUCAUCUCCAGACGGGUCGUCAUCACGCUGCGGCAGGAGGAGCUCGCCCUGCCCCACGUCAGGCCGUGCUGCUGGGUCUGCAGAUGAGCGGCUGCCUCCUCCUCUCUUCAGCUGCAGUAGCGUUUCUCAGGGAGGUGGGAUGCAGUCACGCUCCGCUGGAUUCAGCUUCCUUUCCAAAAGGAGAUUUUGGGGAUGAAGGCAAUUGAAGAAAGGGUGAAGCCAGCUCUUUCCACGAGCUGGGGAAGUCCCUGUGGAGAGAACCGCAAGAACUUGGGCUUCCUCUGAGACCUUUCCCCCCAUGUCUCAGCAAGGAGACAACCGCUGUUUGCAUUUCUGCUCUGCGUGUAGAAAGGAGCAGCACGGUGCGGUUCCCCGUGUUUGGGAGCAGCAGCCAGCAGGCUGCAAGAGAUCCAGCUGCGCCUUUCAGUGCACAGAGGGACACGAUGGGGAUGGACCAUCCUUAGCGCCACUCUGAAAAGCUGAUGCAAGCAGCCUUCCGGCAAAGUGCAGCCAUGCAGAAAGGCAGCAGAGGAGCAUGGAGUGUGGCAUAGCACCAAGGAGAGGUACAGAUAAACAACAGGC